rnacentral:rRNA from 1 species
GGGUUGUGAGGUUAAGCGACUAAGCGUACACGGUGGAUGCCCUGGCAGUCAGAGGCGAUGAAGGACGUGCUAAUCUGCGAUAAGCGUCGGUAAGGUGAUAUGAACCGUUAUAACCGGCGAUUUCCGAAUGGGGAAACCCAGUGUGUUUCGACACACUAUCAUUAACUGAAUCCAUAGGUUAAUGAGGCGAACCGGGGGAACUGAAACAUCUAAGUACCCCGAGGAAAAGAAAUCAACCGAGAUUCCCCCAGUAGCGGCGAGCGAACGGGGAGCAGCCCAGAGCCUGAAUCAGUGUGUGUGUUAGUGGAAGCGUCUGGAAAGGCGCGCGAUACAGGGUGACAGCCCCGUACACAAAAAUGCACAUGCUGUGAGCUCGAUGAGUAGGGCGGGACACGUGGUAUCCUGUCUGAAUAUGGGGGGACCAUCCUCCAAGGCUAAAUACUCCUGACUGACCGAUAGUGAACCAGUACCGUGAGGGAAAGGCGAAAAGAACCCCGGCGAGGGGAGUGAAAAAGAACCUGAAACCGUGUACGUACAAGCAGUGGGAGCACGCUUAGGCGUGUGACUGCGUACCUUUUGUAUAAUGGGUCAGCGACUUAUAUUCUGUAGCAAGGUUAACCGAAUAGGGGAGCCGAAGGGAAACCGAGUCUUAACUGGGCGUUAAGUUGCAGGGUAUAGACCCGAAACCCGGUGAUCUAGCCAUGGGCAGGUUGAAGGUUGGGUAACACUAACUGGAGGACCGAACCGACUAAUGUUGAAAAAUUAGCGGAUGACUUGUGGCUGGGGGUGAAAGGCCAAUCAAACCGGGAGAUAGCUGGUUCUCCCCGAAAGCUAUUUAGGUAGCGCCUCGUGAAUUCAUCUCCGGGGGUAGAGCACUGUUUCGGCAAGGGGGUCAUCCCGACUUACCAACCCGAUGCAAACUGCGAAUACCGGAGAAUGUUAUCACGGGAGACACACGGCGGGUGCUAACGUCCGUCGUGAAGAGGGAAACAACCCAGACCGCCAGCUAAGGUCCCAAAGUCAUGGUUAAGUGGGAAACGAUGUGGGAAGGCCCAGACAGCCAGGAUGUUGGCUUAGAAGCAGCCAUCAUUUAAAGAAAGCGUAAUAGCUCACUGGUCGAGUCGGCCUGCGCGGAAGAUGUAACGGGGCUAAACCAUGCACCGAAGCUGCGGCAGCGACACUAUGUGUUGUUGGGUAGGGGAGCGUUCUGUAAGCCUGCGAAGGUGUGCUGUGAGGCAUGCUGGAGGUAUCAGAAGUGCGAAUGCUGACAUAAGUAACGAUAAAGCGGGUGAAAAGCCCGCUCGCCGGAAGACCAAGGGUUCCUGUCCAACGUUAAUCGGGGCAGGGUGAGUCGACCCCUAAGGCGAGGCCGAAAGGCGUAGUCGAUGGGAAACAGGUUAAUAUUCCUGUACUUGGUGUUACUGCGAAGGGGGGACGGAGAAGGCUAUGUUGGCCGGGCGACGGUUGUCCCGGUUUAAGCGUGUAGGCUGGUUUUCCAGGCAAAUCCGGAAAAUCAAGGCUGAGGCGUGAUGACGAGGCACUACGGUGCUGAAGCAACAAAUGCCCUGCUUCCAGGAAAAGCCUCUAAGCAUCAGGUAACAUCAAAUCGUACCCCAAACCGACACAGGUGGUCAGGUAGAGAAUACCAAGGCGCUUGAGAGAACUCGGGUGAAGGAACUAGGCAAAAUGGUGCCGUAACUUCGGGAGAAGGCACGCUGAUAUGUAGGUGAAGUCCCUCGCGGAUGGAGCUGAAAUCAGUCGAAGAUACCAGCUGGCUGCAACUGUUUAUUAAAAACACAGCACUGUGCAAACACGAAAGUGGACGUAUACGGUGUGACGCCUGCCCGGUGCCGGAAGGUUAAUUGAUGGGGUCAGCGCAAGCGAAGCUCUUGAUCGAAGCCCCGGUAAACGGCGGCCGUAACUAUAACGGUCCUAAGGUAGCGAAAUUCCUUGUCGGGUAAGUUCCGACCUGCACGAAUGGCGUAAUGAUGGCCAGGCUGUCUCCACCCGAGACUCAGUGAAAUUGAACUCGCUGUGAAGAUGCAGUGUACCCGCGGCAAGACGGAAAGACCCCGUGAACCUUUACUAUAGCUUGACACUGAACAUUGAGCCUUGAUGUGUAGGAUAGGUGGGAGGCUUUGAAGUGUGGACGCCAGUCUGCAUGGAGCCGACCUUGAAAUACCACCCUUUAAUGUUUGAUGUUCUAACGUUGACCCGUGAUCCGGGUUGCGGACAGUGUCUGGUGGGUAGUUUGACUGGGGCGGUCUCCUCCUAAAGAGUAACGGAGGAGCACGAAGGUUGGCUAAUCCUGGUCGGACAUCAGGAGGUUAGUGCAAUGGCAUAAGCCAGCUUGACUGCGAGCGUGACGGCGCGAGCAGGUGCGAAAGCAGGUCAUAGUGAUCCGGUGGUUCUGAAUGGAAGGGCCAUCGCUCAACGGAUAAAAGGUACUCCGGGGAUAACAGGCUGAUACCGCCCAAGAGUUCAUAUCGACGGCGGUGUUUGGCACCUCGAUGUCGGCUCAUCACAUCCUGGGGCUGAAGUAGGUCCCAAGGGUAUGGCUGUUCGCCAUUUAAAGUGGUACGCGAGCUGGGUUUAGAACGUCGUGAGACAGUUCGGUCCCUAUCUGCCGUGGGCGCUGGAGAACUGAGGGGGGCUGCUCCUAGUACGAGAGGACCGGAGUGGA